AACGGGUGAGUAAUGCGUGACCAACCUGCCCCAUGCUCCAGAAUAGCUCUUGGAAACGGGUGGUAAUGCUGGAUGCUCCAACUUGACGCAUGUCUUGUUGGGAAAGUGUUUAGUGGCAUGGGAUGGGGUCGCGUCCUAUCAGCUUGUAGGCGGGGUAAUGGCCCACCUAGGCUUCGACGGGUAGCCGGCCUGAGAGGGCGGACGGCCACAUUGGGACUGAGAUACGGCCCAGACUCCUACGGGAGGCAGCAGUCG
rnacentral:rRNA from 1 species